rnacentral:rRNA from 1 species
UACGUAGGUGGCAAGCGUUGUCCGGAAUUAUUGGGCGUAAAGCGCGCGCAGGCGGUCCUUUAAGUCUGAUGUGAAAGCCCACGGCUCAACCGUGGAGGGUCAUUGGAAACUGGGGACUUGAGUGCAGAAGAGGAAAGUGGAAUUCCAAGUGUAGCGGUGAAAUGCGUAGAGAUUUGGAGGAACACCAGUGGCGAAGGCGACUUUCUGGUCUGUAACUGACGCUGAGGCGCGAAGCGUGGGGAGCAACAGG